GCAAAUAGUAAACAUAGUAAAGGUAAAGGUCUAGAGAAAAGUCAAGCCCAAAACAAAAGGACAGAAUCGAAAGCAAUCUGUGGUGGGCUCGAAUGGAGGGAAAACAAAGAAUAUAGAUCCAGACAACAACCAAUUGGGGUGAGAGUCAGGUUGGACGAGCCUGGCAGAGGAUUUAACUGGUGCGCCCUCCUUGCUUAAUUGUUCAACCCACAAAGUCCAAACGGGAUUAGAUCACUUGCAUCAUGCUAUUGUUAUUAUUGAGCAAAGUCAAUCCCCAAUGUUAAUUGUUGAGAAUCGGGAAACUUCAAAAUCUAAUAUGAUUAUUCAAAACCUAGUGUCCUCAUCCUCUCUACCACCAGAAUUAAAAACGUUAUUUUUUAAAGAACCUUUACGACCUGAGAAUGGAAGCGAAAAUCAAGAUUUGCCUGAAGAAGACGAGUCAAUCCUGGUACAACAUGCCAUCAAAGGAGUUGUUGAUAGAUUGGAGUUUCAUUAAGGGGUAACAACUCCCAGUUCAAAAUUCACCCUAGAGAUGGUAGUUCGGAUCCCUUGGAUCAAGGUGAUGGAGAAGGGGCUACUGAUAUGGAUGAUACCCCUGGACCGUCACUCCUAAUUGCAGAAUAAUUGAAGGAUUUUGAUCUUGGAAUUGUGGUUAUGGUAAAGACUCGGCUGAGUGGUGCCAAGGCAGAUAAGGUGAUUGGGAAAAUUGGUUUACCGUUUUCCUAUAGAAUUAAAGCGAAAGGAUUGUUUGGGGGAAUUUGAGUACUUUGGAAGGAGAAUAUUCAAGUGGAGGUGAUUCUCAAUCAUACCCAAUUUAUUCACAUGAAA